UAGUCUGGGAUACCACUUGGAAACAGGUGCUAAUACCGGAUAAGAAAGCGGAUCGCAUGAUCAGCUUUUAAAAGGCGGCGUAAGCUGUCGCUAUGGGAUGGCCCCGCGGUGCAUUAGCUAGUUGGUAAGGUAAAGGCUUACCAAGGCGAUGAUGCAUAGCCGAGUUGAGAGACUGAUCGGCCACAUUGGGACUGAGACACGGCCCAAACUCCUACGGGAGGCAGCAGGA
rnacentral:rRNA from 1 species